rnacentral:rRNA from 1 species
UACGUAGGGAGCAAGCGUUGUUCGGAAUUACUGGGCGUAAAGAGCACGUAGGUGGUUUGCCAAGUCCGAUGUGAAAUCUCCUGGCUUAACUGGGAGGGUGCGUUAGAUACUGGCAGGCUUGAGUGUGGGAGAGGAGAGCGGAAUUCCUGGUGUAGCGGUGAAAUGCGUAGAUAUCAGGAGGAACGCCUGUGGUGUAGACGGCUCUCUGGACCAUUACUGACACUGAGGUACGAAAGCGUGGGUAGCAAACAGG